AUUGAACGCUGGCGGCAGGCUUAACACAUGCAAGUCGAGCGGAGCGAGGGUGCUUGCACCUUAGCUUAGCGGCGGACGGGUGAGUAAUGCUUAGGAAUCUGCCUAUUAGUGGGGGACAACAUUCCGAAAGGGAUGCUAAUACCGCAUACGCCCUACGGGGGAAAGCAGGGGAUCUUCGGACCUUGCGCUAAUAGAUGAGCCUAAGUCGGAUUAGCUAGUUGGUGGGGUAAAGGCCUACCAAGGCGACGAUCUGUAGCGGGUCUGAGAGGAUGAUCCGCCACACUGGGACUGAGACACGGCCCAGACUCCUACGGGGGGCAGCAGUGGGGAAUAUUGGACAAUGGGGGGAACCCUGAUCCAGCCAUGCCGCGUGUGUGAAGAAGGCCUUUUGGUUGUAAAGCACUUUAAGCGAGGAGGAGGCGCUCUAGGAUAAUACCCUAGAUGCGUGGACGUACUCGCAGAUAGCCC
rnacentral:rRNA from 1 species